rnacentral:misc_RNA from 1 species
UGGUUCUGGCAACGAUGAAGAACGCAGCGAAAUGCGAUAAGUAAUGCGAAUUGCAGAAUUCAGUGAAUCAUCGAAUCUUUGAACGCACAUUGCGCCCUCUGGCAUUCCGGGGGGCACGCCUGUUCGAGCGUCAUUAGUCAAUCGAGCCUCGCUCGGCAUUGGGCUCCGCCGGGCGGCGGGCCCGAAAAGCAGCGGCGCGGUCAGCCGGGCAAGAGACGCAUUGGAAACACUGUUUCUUCGCCCUGGGGGUUGCCGCCGGAAUUUAUCUUUUCAGAAAAAUUGACCUCGGAUCAGGCGGGAAUACCCGCUGA